CCAACACUAUCCACUGAGCCAGACCGGCGAGGGCUUUCCCAGGCUUCUCUGAGCACACUGUGUACCCUGGGCCUCAUGCCUUCCUUUUCUCACGCUCUCUCCUCUCCCGGAAAUGCCUGUCCCCCAUUUCCACUGUGUUCUGCUUCUUUGGCGAAAGUCUGUUCAUUUACCGUCACUCCCUCCUUCCUCCUGCUGUAGAAUUGAGCAGUCGGACAGUCCGCCGUGUGAAUUGCUGCCUUUCCUCCCGGGGUGGAGACUAGCUUGCAGCAGCUCUGAAUUCUCCAGCACUUGCACAGUUUUCCUUCAAUCAAGUUGUUUCUCUAUAUAUUUUAAAGAAAUUUUUUUAAAUGGUAACUAUGAAGGGACGUCGUCCUGAGUGAGCGCUCGGCCCGCAGUGGAGUGACCCUGGCCAGUGGCGAUCGCCAAGGUUCUCCUGAGCUGGCUGUGCCAGAGCCGGACCUGCGUGCUCCCCGCUGACCCUGCAGGCUGACCAACAGGGCUUUCAUUUUACGGUGAGAAAAUGAGAAGUCCAUCGCCUUAACCACUCGGCCACCUCGUCCCACGCUGUUAUUUGUUUUAAAUGGUUUGACUUUUACGCUUCUUGGAGUAUACCCUGAACACCAGCACUCAGUCAGAACACAAUGCUGCUGUAUCGGCUGCUGAGAGGACUCCAGAGCUGAGAUAAAUGCUGUGAACGCUGAGGACCUGCCCAACAUAAAGCUCUUGGUAUUUUGAAAACAUUUGUUCAUUUGGUUGCAAGCAACCACUCAAAACUGAAAAAUAAAUGCAAAAUCUUGCUAAAAAAAAAGAGAAGAAAAAAAAGCACAACCCAAAUCAAAUCUGGGAAUCCAUUCAUGGUGACCUGCCUUCACUUUCCUGGCUUUCCCCUCUGUGCCCCAAUGGUCCUUCUACUCCCACUGGUAUUUGGGCCUGGUCUCUUUAACCUUCUCGUAGUUUGUCUCCUCCAGAUGGCAACAGUUCCAUGUUCAUGAAGCUGAUGGUCAUGCCAGGCCGCCAGCCCAUCCCGGACAAGGAAGACCCGAGCCCUUGCUGCUCUUCAAAUGAGACAGCGAGAGAAUUGUAGUCCUCCCUCAGCAGGAAGCAGUCACCGGAGACCUCUGACCCUAAUCCCUUCAGAAUAAGGAGGAUAAAACCUCCCGGGGGAAAUGAGGCAGGAUAAGGACUUGGGCCCAGGAAUGAAAAAAUACCAGAUGGCCAGGAAGACAAGUUAAAACCAGGUGGCCAGACGAUGUCGAAACCACAUCUGGGGCAUGCUCAGUUGAUCAAGGUCUGUCCGCUAUGCAACCUUCCAGCAGUGGCGAUAAUGAGCAAUGCCACCAUCUUGCCCGCACAGCACAGGCCGGAGAUAGUUGCCAAGCAACCCAAAAGAAGGAGGAAGUAACCCCACCCUGACACGUUAAAUUCCACCCCCUGAACCCUUCACAAGCCGCCUUUCCCAGCAAGCCCAUCUUUCUUUUUGCACAAGCCCGCUUUGUCCCCAGCUUAUAAAAGCGGCCAAACAGAGCCAGCCAUGAAGCCAGCUCCGUACUGCUUUCCUUGUGCUCAAGUGUAAGCUUAAUAAAAUCUGUCUGGAAAUUUC